AUUGAACGCUGGCGGCAUGCUUUACACAUGCAAGUCGAACGCGGGUGAGGGGCAACUCUCACCUGAGUGGCGAACGGGUGAGUAAUACAUCGGAACGUGUCCCGUAGUGGGGGAUAACCCGGCGAAAGCCGGACUAAUACCGCAUAUGCUCUACGGAGGAAAGCGGGGAUCGCAAGACCUCGCGCUAAUGGAUGAGCCCAAGUCGGAUUAGCUAGUUGGUGAGGAACGGCUCACCAAGGCGACGAUCCGUAGCUGGUCUGAGAGGACGACCAGCCACACCGGAACUGAGACACGGUCCGGACUCCUACGGGAGGCAGCAGUGGGGAAUAUUGGACAAUGGGGGAAACCCUGAUCCAGCGACGCCGCG
rnacentral:rRNA from 1 species